rnacentral:rRNA from 1 species
GAUGAACGCUGGCGGUGUGCUUAACACAUGCAAGUCGAACGGAAAGGCCCUGCUCAUGUGGUGUGCUCGACUGGCGAACGGGUGAGUAACACGUAUGUAACCUGCCCUCGACUUUGGGAUAACUUCAGGAAACUCGGGCUAAUACCGCAUAGAAGAUCCUGCUGCCUGGUGGGGGUUUGAUAGUUUCGGAUGUGGUGGAUGUACUCGCGGCUUCCCUUCUUGAUGUGGGGGUAGUGGCUUACCAAGGCUUUGACGGGUAUCGGGCCUGAGAGGGUGACCGGCCACAUUAGGACUGAGAUACGGCCCAGAGUCGUACGGGAGGCAGCAGUGGGGAAUAUUGCACGAUGGGCGGAAGCCUGAUGCAGCAACGCCGCGUGCGGGAUGGCGGCCUUCGGGUUGUAGACAGCUUUCGCCGGUGACGGAACGUGAGUGACGGUAAUUGGUAAAGAAGCACCGGCUAACUACGUG